AGCUCGGCCGCACAGUCAGGUUUCUGGCGGGUGUGGAUUGUUUUCUGCCCCUGGGGCCUGGGUGGGAAGCGGGAAGACCCGAGAAGCUGGUGGCCCACGCAGUCUUCUGCCAUUGUCGCACCCCCUGCGGGCUGCAGAGGCACCCCCGGGGCCCUCGCAGCUGAAAUACAGAAACCAGGCCCUGCCUGAACAAAAAAAGGCACUGGCUGCCGGGACUCAUGAGUAGGGCCUUCUGCACAAACAUUGGGUAGAAGCCGCGAAUAGUAUUGCGAGGGUUGCUGAAAUUUGAUGCUCUUGGUGGGUUGUGAACAGCCCCAAAGCUUCUGGAGACACGGGGAAGGGCGUGGCUCCUUCCCGGUGGUGAGCGAAUUGGUGCGAGUUGGAAGGCCCAUCCCAGACCUUGUGCCCCACUCACCUAGGAUGCGGAGACAAAUUACCUGCUGCCAGCCUAACGGGAGAAAGAGAAGUAAACAAUCAAACGAUGCUGUGUGAUGAGAGCUCUCGAGCUCCAGAAAAGGCCUGAGCCAGGGGGCAUCUCAGAGGAGGUGACUGAGGAGGUGACUGAGGGACCGAGAAGGUAUCCCCUGCAUCCACAGGGAUGUGGGGGGCAGGGCGGGCUCUGGGUGCUGCCGGCCCCCGGGGGGUCCCCCACCCCCUGGGCUCUGCAGACUGCCAGGUGCCAGAAAGCCUGAGAUCCCAAGCCAUCGAAAUGAAGGCAACCGCCGUGGAGAGGUCAAGGACAACUGCACUGGAAGAGUGAACGCCCUGACCACAGCGGGCCAGAGAAGCGGCUCCGGGAUCAGCACCUGGACUGAACGCACUGCUCAUCACACCCCCGACUCCUUCCUUCGGCCGCGGCAUUUUCUGGAGGGCCGGCAGUCAUCCAACCCUGGACAGGAUGCCGCUUUGGCUUGCAGAACCUCGGUAACCCCGUGUCCUCUGGAUCACCCUGGGGCCCUGUCCCCCCGCCCCAGGACGGUCGUCACCAUCACUGCGGUUGGAAGCACCACGGUGGUGGGCGACAUCUGGUGCGCACUCACCACGUAGGAGGUGCUGGCCUCGCCCUUUGGGUGUGUCUGGGAGCUCCGUGCCCACUUUACAGACAGGAAGACGGAGAGAGGCAGAGGCAUCCGUCCAGGAUGGCGCGCUUGACGCGCCCUUGAGUCGGAUUCAGGCUCCGGGGAAAAGUCUGGGCCCUGAGUGUGGCGGGCUGGAAUGUCCGAACCGAAGCCAGGCUGGGGCUGGAGUCUUUGGUGGGGGCCCUUGGCGGGGCUGGGAGGUCGCGGAAAGCCAGGGGCCGGAAGGCAGCCCGCAGGCCCGGGAGAGAGAGCAGACGUGAGAGGAGGACGCGCGGACCCCUCCGCCCCUGAGCAGGAAGGGGCGCGCACACGCUCGUGCACACGUGGCGCACGCGCACCGGCACGCGCCCAGGCAGCGCCCCCCCCCCCCCCCCCCGGGACCUGCACACACACGCAUGACGCACACAUCCAGGCACGGCCCGCGCGAUGCACACGCGCGCACGCACAGCCGUGCACGCGUGCACGCAAAUGCACAUGCGCACGGGCGCGAACACGCCACAUGCUCGCGGAACCUCAGAACAGACCGUCUGCCCAUCUCUCUCCUUAGCAAUUAUCAUGGUGCAUUCAUUCAUGCAACGAGCAUAUGUCGAGCCAUUUUCGGUGCCUGGCCGGGGGCGGGGACGGGGUGGGGAGGGGAGGGUGGUCCCUGCAGCCCCAGCUGAGAGGACCCAGAGAGGACCCACAGUCCCGACCCGACUGUCCCCCUGGCCGGCCUGAAGGCAGGGGUGGGGUUGUGGGGAACCGGACCGGCCCGCCUCGGGCCCAGGAGGCCCCCACACUGAUCCCGUCCCCCCGUGGGAGCUCCCAAGGGUGGGGCCCUCAGCACCCAGCUAGGGGAAGGAGGGGAGAUCAGGGGAGGGGCCACGAGUAAUACCCUAACUCUCCCCAUCUUCCUCCCCUCCCCCUCUCUCCUUCCCUCUGCCUAAUCCCUUCUUCCCCCAGCCUCUCCCUCCCUCCCUCUCUCCUUCUCACGAAUGCAUCCCUCAGUUUCCCUAUCUGGGCAAUGGGCGCGUGCCAGCGCCUUCCUCACUGAGCUGCGAGGGGAAUGCUUCACAGAGGGGGCUUGGGCCGCUGCCCUUCCUCUAGGCAAGGAUCAGCCUGUGCCCCGAGUGUGGCAGCAGGACCCCCGCACCCUACCCUGCACGCUUUUGCGCCCCAUCUCCCUCCACACACACACUUGGCCACGUUGCGCAGCCUGGCUAGUCGCACCCUCCCCCGCCUCAGUGGAGCUCCCCCUCAAGUCCCGGGCAGUGACAAGUGCGAGGCCCGCGGACCCCCCCUGACCCUGGCUGCAGGGCUCUGCUCAUUGAUCCAAAGAAGCUCUUUCCUUUCCCUCAGGCGCUUCUCUGAAGGAUGGAAAAAUCGAUGCCCGCAGAAGAGCGGGUGCAGGGAAGUUA